rnacentral:lncRNA from 1 species
CACACACAAAAAAAAGCACCUUCAUACAAAGAAAAAUCAGGCCUGGAACAGAUCAGCCUCCCUGCAGGAAUCAACUGAGAAAGAAUUAAUGACACUUUCGAAAGCUUUAAAUUCCAAUGAGAAAUUGAAGCCCUGGGAAUAUCUGCCUCAACAUUUUAUAGGGUGUAUGCCUGCAGUCAGUGAGAAGCACGAGGAUAUUCCGUUCCUUAUAUGUUCUGAGACAGCUGAUAACAGAAUGAAGGGGGAUUUUCUUAAAGCAUCCAUGACCCUAACAAGGAAACUGGAAGUUGCAUUCUAUUGAUCCAAGGCUAAGAAGGAAUUAAGUUGCCAUCAGAUCAAAUUCCGGCAAAGCGUCUGGAAGAGACAUGGCUUCAAAUCAAUGUUUUGAAAAAGAAAUUAAGAAUAUAUUCUUCAAAAACUUCUCAAGAUGGCCGAAGAGGAACAGCUCCGGUCUACAGCUCCCAGCGUGAGCGACGCAGAAGAAGGGUGAUUU